rnacentral:rRNA from 1 species
GACGAACGCUGGCGGCGUGCUUAACACAUGCAAGUCGAACGGAAAGGCCCUGCUUUUGUGGGGUGCUCGAGUGGCGAACGGGUGAGUAACACGUGAGUAACCUGCCCUUGACUUUGGGAUAACUUCAGGAAACUGGGGCUAAUACCGGAUAGGAGCUCCUGCUCCAUGGUGGGGGUUGGAAAGUUUCGGCGGUUGGGGAUGGACUCGCGGCUUAUCAGCUUGUUGGUGGGGUAGUGGCUUACCAAGGCUUUGACGGGUCGCCGGCAUGAGAGGGUGACAGGACACAUUGGGACGGAGAUACGGCCCAGACGCCUACGGGAGGCAGCAGUGGGGAAUAUUGCACAAUGGGCGGAAGCCUGAUGCAGCAACGCCGCGUGCGGGAUGACGGCCUUCGGGUUGUAAACCGCUUUCGCCUGUGACGAAGCGUGAGUGAUGGUAAUGGGUAAAGAAGCACCGGCUAACUACGUG